GAUUAAAUUUUAGGUAAUCGCUUCUAGUGGGGAGUAUUUGCUAGAAGUAAUGGGGAAAGUUUGGUGAAAACCCAACGCUGUCCCGCAACUGUGAUGAGAUUAUUUCUGAUUAAAUCUCUAAGUCAGAUGCUAAUGAUAAACUCACAUUUAUUU
rnacentral:ncRNA from 1 species